GUAAGGAAUAUUGGUCAAUGGAGGCAACUCUGACGCAGCCAUGCCGCGUGCAGGAAGAAGGCGCUACGCGUUGUAAACUGCUUUUAACCGGGAAGAAACCCCAGGACGUGUCCUGGGUUGACGGUACCGGAGGAAUAAGCACCGGCUAACUUCGUGCCAGCAGCCGCGGUAAUACGAAGGGUGCAAGCGUUAUCCGGAUUCAUUGGGUUUAAAGGGUGCGUAGGCGGAGCGUUAAGUCAGUGGUGAAAUCCUGCAGCUUAACUGUAGACUUGCCAUUGAUACUGGCGCUCUUGAGUGCGCUUGAAGUGGGCGGAAUGUGCCGUGUAGCGGUGAAAUGCUUAGAUAUGGCACAGAACACCAAUUGCGAAGGCAGCUCACUAAGGCGAUACUGACGCUGAGGCACGAAAGCGUGGGGAUCGAACAGGAUUAGAUACCCCAGUAGUCC
rnacentral:rRNA from 1 species